AGUGUGAUCACAUCAGUUAAAAUGUUUGGACGUAAGGAACACACCGUCAACCGACAUUCCACAUACAGGGACCUCCUUGGCCUCUGUGAUUGCUGAGCUCCCACACGUCUCUGGCAUCACCCUCGGUUUGCUACAGAGGUUCACACUUGUCAUCAGUGCUUCACCUCUAUUUCUCUGUGAUUCUUGCACCUCUGGCCUCCCUGAAUAUUGGUUUCAUCCUCAGACAGUCUCUCCUAUAAGAGCAAAUUGUUUCACACUGGUCCAGCUACCAAAGGAGAGAGACAGCUUUGUCCCCAAGCCCUGCAUUCAUCCUGAGAGCUACGAUUGGGUCACAUGACACUCCCGACCAGUCCCUUUGGUUCCACACUGAUUGGCUUAGCCUAGGUCAGGCAACCCGACCCUGCGCUGGAUUGGCAUUAGCUCCACUGGAACCACACUUGUCCCUAAGUGGAAACUGGGGGACUUGGAAAGGGAGAAAGGGAGAAAAUUGGGAAAGAUGAUGGGAACAUGUCUGGAAUUAGACAGGCCAGCCCUGCCUGCAGUUCUAACUCUCCCUCUCUGCGAACAGAGUGACUUGAUUCUCGCACCUUGGCUUGUUCACCUGCAGGUGUCCCAGCAAUAAUACCCUCCUUACAGAAGAAAUGAGAAUUAAAUGAGAGGAUGCAUGGCAAGCACUCAGAACAGUGCCUGGCAUACAUCUCAAUAAAAGAGCUCUGUUCUUGCAUGUGGAGGAGGUGCAAGGCAGCUCUCCAGGACCUUUGUCAUAGAGGCAUUAAUCUCAUCCCAAAGGGCUCCACCCUCAUGACCCAAUCACCUCCCAAAAGCUUCACGUCCAAAUAUCAUCACACUGGGAGCUAAGAUUUCUCUGUGACUUUGGGAGGAUACAGACCACUCUCUCCAUAAGAGGAAAGAAAACAGAGAAGGAAGAUCCCUGACUGAUGGCAAAGCAAGUAAACAAAUGUGUUCAAAUAUCCCAAAAAGAGUGAAAAAGGGAGAAUAUUUCACUGAGAAAUCACAUCUUCCUUGGAGUUUCUCCUACUUCUCUUGUCCACUUUAAGGGACUCCCGUGAUCACAUUGGACCCACCUGGAUAAUCUAGGAUGAUCUCUACAUCUCAAGGUUCUUUUUUUUUUUUCUUUUUUUUUUUUUUAAUUUUCAUCUCAAGGUUCUUAAUCACACCUACAAAGUCCUUUUUACCAUAUAACACAACAGAUUCUGGGGAUUAAGACAGAGAUGUCUUUGGGGAUUCUUACUCUGUCUUCCUCAUCAAACCAGACUGAAGGACACACCCAAGCUCCCAAAGGAGGGGCUGACUUCAGAAAGACCCUUUCCAUGAAAAAAAAUAAAAAAUUAAAUAAACCCUAUGCCAAAUCAAAAUAUUCAAACCCAGCACUACCAAGUAACAGCAAACCCCUAAUAAUCUUGAAUCAUUCAUAGUUAGUUACAGAGAGAUAAUGAGUUUGUCUGAGCUGGCAGGGUCAGUGUAAAAGUAUUUAUGCAUCCUAGAGCAGUUCCUCAAAAAAUUAAAAACAGAAUUACCACAUGAUCCAGCAAUUUCCUUCCUAAAUGUGUACUAAAAAAAAUUGAAAGCGGGGAUUCAAAUAGAUACGUGUAAACCCAUGUUCAUUGCAGCAUUAUUCACAACAGCCAAAAGGUGGAAAAAACCCAAGUGUCCAUUGACGGAUGAAUGGAUGAAAAAGUGUGGUCUA